rnacentral:tRNA from 1 species
GCAGCCGUAGCUCAGCUGGUUAGAGCGUCGGAUUGUGGAUCCGAAGGUCCUCGGUUCAAGUCCGAGCGGCUGUACCA